UACGGAGGAUGCGAGCGUCAUCCGGAAUUAUUGGGCGUAAAGAGCGCGCAGGUGGUUAAUUAAGUCUGAUGUGAAAGCCCACGGCUUAACCGUGGAGGGUCAUUGGAAACUGGUUGACUUGAGUGCAGAAGAGGGAAGUGGAAUUCCAUGUGUAGCGGUGAAAUGCGUAGAGAUAUGGAGGAACACCAGUGGCGAAGGCGGCUUCCUGGUCUGCAACUGACACUGAGGCGCGAAAGCGUGGGGAGCAAACAGG
rnacentral:rRNA from 1 species